rnacentral:snRNA from 1 species
GGAACGGAGCAAUCCGGUCC